rnacentral:rRNA from 1 species
UACGAAGGGGCUAGCGUUGUUCGGAAUUACUGGGCGUAAAGCGCGCGCAGGCGGUUCUUCAAGUCAGUGGUGAAAGCCCGGAGCUCAACUCCGGAACUGCCAUUGAAACUGUAGAACUUGAGGAUGAGAGAGGUGAGUGGAAUUCCCAGUGUAGAGGUGAAAUUCGUAGAUAUUGGAAGAACACCAGUGGCGAAGGCGGCUCACUGGCUCAUUCUGACGCUCAGGCGCGACAGCGUGGGAUCGAAACAGG